rnacentral:rRNA from 1 species
GGGUGGUAAACUCCAUCCAAGGCUAAAUACUAACACGAGUCCGAUAGCGAACAAGUACCGUGAGGGAAAGUUGAAAAGUACUUUGAAGAGAGAGUAAACAGUGCGUGAAACCGCUCAGAGGUAAACGGGUGGAGUUGAACUGCAAGCUUUGAGAAUUCAGCUGGUGAGUGUGGGUUGAGCUUGGUCAAUUUGGUGAACUCCGGGGUCUGCGUAGUAGCAGGUCUCUGCCUUCGGGUGGGGAUGCGCGAUGCACUUGUCAAGUGUUGUGCGCUCUGGUUGUUCUUCGGCCUACUCGCCAGUGCAUUUUCUCGGAGUGGUCACCACGACCGACACCGCUGUCUGGCUGCUAUGGUUAAACCGGUCUUGCAUUGUCCUUGUGGCUUUGCUUAGUCGGGAUGGCAGGUAGCUCGUUGACUUGCUUGUGGCUUGCUGCAGGCGUUUGGUUUUCGAGUGUAAUCAGCUGACUGUAGUGGUUCUGUGCAGUGUGUCGGAGACGGCGGCUUGAGGUGUGUGCAUGCGUUCCUGUUCCGCUGACUUGUCCGGGUUUGGUUAUUAUGUUGCCUGUUCAAGCAGGCCUAGUGAUAGCUCGGAUUCGUUCGGUGGGCGGUUGCGUGUGUGGCACUAUCCAAGGGCCAACAGUCUGUGGUGUAGUGGUAGACUUUCCACCCGACCCGUCUUGAAACACGGACCAAGGAGAGUAACAUGUACGCGAGUCAUUGGGCGUUACGAAACCCAAAGGCGCAGUGAAAGUAAAGGUCUGACUCGUUCAGACUGAGGUGAGAUCCUGUCGUUUCUCACGCGUGGUACUUCCAAGCAUCGAGCGGCAGGCGCAUCACCGGCCCGUCCCAUGGCAGUUGUUUUCGGGCAGUUUUCGGUCGGGGCGGAGCAUGAGCGUACAUGUUGAGACCCGAAAGAUGGUGAACUAUGCUUGCGCAGGUUGAAGCCAGAGGAAACUCUGGUGGAGGACCGCAGCGAUUCUGACGUGCAAAUCGAUCGUCAAACGUGAGUAUAGGGGCGAAAGACUAAUCGAAC